UGUUUAAUAAUUCACUUUAAAUCUAGUACACAAAAUAUAAAAAUAACUAUUCUGACAUAUAAAAAUGCAUGUGUAUAAAAGUGAACACAACUUUAGCACAGAAAUGUUCAAUAGUCAAAACUAAGACUGCAAUUUAUUUAAAGAUAAAAUGACAUCCAAAAGUUUGGUAAAAGGUGAGAAUUAUAAAUGAUGCAUUACAGUUAUGUUUCUAUCCUAUCGAGUUAUCUCCCCUUAAUUUUGGAUAGGCCUUUAAUUUUUUUGUACUUGUAUGAAAACUGCAGUCUGAGUUUUGUAUAUUGAGGAAUGUUAUCACAGAUAUAAGUAUUCACUACCAUGUAUAUCCAAUAUUUGACACACAAAAUACACACGUAUUGCAUUCUAAUGCAUAUUUCAUUCUAAUGAAAAUAGUAACUAAAUAAAUACUGGCUUGUAAGGUCAUUUUCUAGAUUAGUAUCCUACUUAAAAAGUUUAUGUCAUUCUCUUAGUAAUAAUAUUUGUGAAAUUAAAAUGAUCUCCUGGUAGAUCAAUAUGUUCUGAUACCUUACGGCUUGCUUUUGAAAGUAUUUCAAUUAAAUUUGUAUCUGAAAUUAGAUUAGUUUUGUUACAAAGUAAAAUGUUGGAGUUUAAAAGGAUUGCAUUAAAAUUGAUUUUGAUUUUUUUCUAUUCUCAAAACAAUCUAAAAAGAC
rnacentral:lncRNA from 1 species